rnacentral:rRNA from 1 species
UACGGAGGAUCCAAGCGUUAUCCGGAAUCAUUGGGUUUAAAGGGUCCGUAGGCGGUUUAAUAAGUCAGUGGUGAAAGCCCAUCGCUCAACGGUGGAACGGCCAUUGAUACUGUUAGACUUGAAUUAUUAGGAAGUAACUAGAAUAUGUAGUGUAGCGGUGAAAUGCUUAGAGAUUACAUGAAUACAAUUGCGAAGGCAGGUUACUACUAAUGAUUGACGCUGAUGGACGAAAAGCGUGGGUAGCGAAACAGG